rnacentral:rRNA from 1 species
CCUACGGGAGGCAGCAGUGAGGAAUAUUGGUCAAUGGGCGCGAGCCUGACCCAGCCAAGUAGCGUGAAGGAUGACUGCCCUACGGGUGGUAAACUUCUUUUAUAAAGGAAUAAAGUGAGGCACGUGUGCCUUUUUGUAUGUACUUUAUGAAUAAGGAUCGGCUAACUCCGUGCCAGCAGCCGCGGUAAUACGGAGGAUACGAGCGUUAUCCGGAUUUAUUGGGUUUAAAGGGAGCGUAGAUGGGUUGUUAAGUCAGUUGUGAAAGUUUGCGGCUCAACCGUAAAAGUGCAAUUGAUACUGGCAGUCUUGAGUGCAGUUGAGGUAAGCGGAAUUCGAGGUGUAGCGGUGAAAUGCGUAGAUAUCACGAAGAACACCGAUGGCGAAGGCAGCUUACUAAACUGCCACUGACAUUGAUGCUCGAAAGUGUGGGUAUCAAACAGGAUUAGAUACCCUUGUAGUC